AAAUAGCCGCCGGAAGAACGGGUAUCAUUGAUGUUGAUAAUUAUGGGGUGAAUAAUGCUCCGCUAUUUU
rnacentral:tRNA from 1 species